CUUGGCCUCGCCGCGAUCGAGCGAGCGCGCAAGCGUCAAGCCUCUCGGCUGACUUGGCUCAAGAUGGGCGACGCGGGAACCAAAAUUUUCCAUGCAAAGUUCCAUUCAUGCCGAAGGAAGAACUACAUUCACAGCCUGCUGACGAACGACGGGAUCGCCACAUCACACAAAGACAAGGAAGCAGCCAUUUUCGAAAACUUCAACUCCAUCCUCGGCUCCAAAGGGGCUCGACCAACAACCAUCAACUGGAGCCAACUUCAGCUGCCCACAAUCAGAGGAGGUGGCCUAGAUAACCCUUUCACAGAGGAUGAGGUUUGGGAAGCGAUCAAGAGCUCGCCGGCGGAAAAGGCUCCGGGACCGGACGACUUCAUUCGAGUCCUCUUCCGUAGCUGCUGGCAAAUCAUCAAGCACGACAUCAUGAGGGCUUUAUACCAGUUCUAUUGUAUAGCCGGCGACGAUCUUGCCACACUCAACUCCGCCCUGGUGGUUCUGAUCCCAAAGAAGGAUGGCGCAACAACAGUUUCAAAUUUCAGGCCCAUUGGUCUAGUCCACUCUAUAGCUAAGCUGAUCACCAAGGUCCUCUCCAUGCGCCUCUCCAACGUCAUCGACUCCAUCAUCUCGCCGGCACAAUCUGCCUUCCUGGCAAAGAAGAGCACGCACGACAAUUUUCUCUAUGUCCAAAGUGCAGUUAGAGCGCUACACAUGAAGAAGACAUCGACACUGCUUAUCAAACUAGACAUCGCAAAAGCAUUUGAUAAUGUCUCCUGGGAAUACUUACUUGAACUUCUCCAAGCCCUAGGCUUCUCAGCUUGA
rnacentral:rRNA from 1 species